CUGUUUACAGGGAGUGGCAGACGGGUGAGUAACGCGUGGGAAUUUACCGAGUAGUGUGGAAUAACUCAGAGAAAUUUGAGCUAAUACCGCAUACGCCCUUCGGGGGAAAGAUUUAUCGCUAUUCGAUAGGCCCGCGUUAGAUUAGCUAGUUGGUGGGGUAAUGGCCUACCAAGGCGACGAUCUAUAGCUGGUCUGAGAGGAUGAUCAGCCACACUGGGACUGAGACACGGCCCAGACUCCUACGGGAGGCAGCAGUGAGGAAUAUUGGACAAUGGGCGCAAGCCUGAUCCAGCCAUGCCGCGUGAGUGAUGACGGCCUUAGGGUUGUAAAGCUCUUUCGCUAGGGAAGAUAAUGACGGUACCUAGUAAAGAAGCCCCGGCUAACUUCGUGCCAGCAGCCGCGGUAAUACAAAGGGGGCUAGCGUUGUUCGGAAUCACUGGGCGUAAAGCGCACGUAGGCGGAUCUUUAAGUCAGGGGUGAAAUCCCAGAGCUCAACUCUGGAACUGCCUUUGAUACUGGGGAUCUUGAGUCCGGAAGAGGUGAGUGGAAUACCGAGUGUAGAGGUGAAAUUCGUA
rnacentral:rRNA from 1 species